GUAAGGUCCUUUAUAAUCCUGAACAACGAUAAUUGCCCCGUUGUUACAGCUUCGCUUAAGGACAACAUCAAUAUUUUUGUUUUAUUAUCCUAGCGCUUAAAAAUGUAAAUAUCGUAUUUGUGGUGCUCGAGAAACGUAGAACAACAUUU